AUGGCCUGCUGUGGCUGCUGAGACAGGCUGAGGGUUAGCACAGUCUAUGGCUCAGUCUAUAGAAUUACCCUUUAAACUCUAUGUUCGCCCACUGCCCACUUCUGUUUAUCUGCUGUCUAACAGGUAUGGACACCAAGUCUAGCCAAGCAGUCCAGAAGAAUAGUGGACCCACUGAUAUGGAGGAGAAGUUGAGGAACCCACCCAAGAGAGCAGCACUGAACUCCCCACAGGCUAAGAGGUGGGAUGCCCUCAGAAAGAGCUGUGAAGACACCUGUGGGUGUGACCUUGGAAACUGCUGAGAGGAGCUCCGCUGGCUUCAGAGACCCUGGAGCAAGUAGCAAGCAAAGCACAGAUGGAACAGGAAGCCUCUUCUUUCCCCAUCUUCCGCUGCCCUCUACAGACAGUUUCAUGUUGUGCCAGAUGGCAAGGGGAGCAUAGGCCCAGCACCCAUCAAGGGUGGACUGGGCACUGCCACGCAACAGAUGAUUAACUGUGCAGGAUGCUGGUGGACGGCACUGGUGGAGAGAGCUCUUUCAUAAACACUUUUUGAAAAUGUUUGCUUGAAGGACUAUUCCUGCCCGUUGAGAAAUUAUUCAAAACAAAGAACUCAACGGAAAAAAAAAAUAAGUGUAAAAGAAAAAGCAAAGAACAAUUAAAUCAAUAAACAAUGCAAACUAAAUGAUUGUGAUUAAUACGGUAUAAAUAUCAAUAAAAGUGAUGAAAAAGUA